GGUCUUUAAAACACUAAUUCUUCCUUUCCUCAUCAGUCAUACUCCUUACCGGCCACUUGCAGACUCCUUAUGUUGUAAUGGAAUCUCCUUGUGGUCUUUAAAACAAUCCUUCCUUUCCCCACCGCUGCGUGCCCUUGAUCCCCGUUCCUUUCCCCCAGAAGAGGCUCCAGCCGAGCUCCAAAACGACCCCCAGCCGAGCCGGGCCCAGACGUCCACCCAAGGAACGCCAGGCCUUCCGCUGCUCCUGCUGGGGCCUCACCGUCUGCUGGGGCGCGACAGGACGAGAACGUGGUGCCUCUGGGUUCUCCUGGCUGCCUGUCUAGGGUUCUCCAGCGCCGUCAGGGGUACGAGUGGCCUUCAGGACGUCUCUCAGACUAGGCCCUACACUGUGUGUGGAGGAAAUUAUCAACGGCAUCCCGAGUAACGACACCAGUACCCAGCCGGUGGCCACACAAGCUGCACGCAAGAAGCUCUCAGCCCGCUCUUAGAUGCCACCCCGGAUGCCGGCCUGGUGCACCCCCUUGUACUCCUCCUGGAGAGGGCAGACAACCUCGGAUGCUGUCGUGUUGUUCGUCAAGCUGCUCCCCUCGCCGCACACCAACGUAACAUGCAGAGCAAGCCGUGUGGGCGCCGGGAAACACUGCUGGCGAUGACCCCAAACUCAGAGACUUCGUCAUUAAGGCUGGCAUUGUACAACCUCUUCUGGAACUCAUUAGACCAGACACAGAGGUAAGUUCAUGAGGAUGAUUUCUUACAUUUUAUAAUGGGAUGCUCUACCAUUCAGUGAUGUAUUCUUUCUUCACUUCAAAACUGAAGCACAAAGUGCAACAGUAAACUAAUGUUUAUAAGAGAAAGAAAAAAAAGAAUAAACUGUCUUCAGUAUCUUCAUUCCAGUAGCAUCACUGCAUCAUAAUGAAUGUAUUGCUGAGUGUAGAUACACAGGUCAUUGUUGAGCAGACAUAAAAAGGCGGCACCAGGUGGAAGGCCACAGCCACAGACGGCAGGCCAGUGCUGGUACACAAUACGGUGAUGGAGGCAGUUAUAAUGAACGCGGUUAUAACUUGUUGGCUAUUGGAAUAUGUUUGAAGGAUGGGUACUUUGAAUUACAAGGAACUAAUAAAGUAAUGUAAAGGCUAGAGUUCAAUUCUCAGGUCUGAGGACAUGUAUCUUAACUAAAAUUUCUAAGUCAUUCAUUCAUUAUUGUCUUAGAAGACACAAUAAAACCCAGUGAGGUGAUGCCCCACCCGGACCGCUUCCUGCAUGCAUCAGUUAUUUGUGUGUCAUACCAGUGCGGGUAUUGUAGGUUAACAUGGCUCGUUAAUAUUCACCCAGCAAAGGGUUAUAAAUGUGUUCAUCUUCUCAAACUGCCGAGAUCAACGAGGUGGACCGCCUGGGCCAGAUGACUGAGGAGUGCGGCAGACUGGACAAGACUGAGCACUGCAGCACCACGACAACGAGGCCGUGUAUGAAAAGGCCCUGGAUGGAUAUCAUCGAGAAGUGUUCCGGCGAGGAGGAGGGGCCCGAGGUGAGCAGCACCACCAGUGACCAGGUGUACGACUACUCUGCCGUGAACAACGUGCCUGAGGGUGGAUUCUCUUUCUAGGACUUCAAUGUGCAUGUCUGGCAAGGGAGGAGCAGCAGCAGGCAGGGUGUGUGUUCCACGGCGGAAUAAUGUGAUAAUGUAUCUAACCGUCAAUCUCACUUGUCUAAGUGACCUCUGCAGCAUGUUUUACUGUGCUUUCAGUGGACCCGCUGGUGCCUCAAUGUUUUACUGGGCCCUCAGCGGACCCGCUGGUGCCUCAAUGUUUUACUGGGCCUUCAGUGGACCCGCUGGUGCCUCAGUGUUUUACUGUGCUUUCAGUGGAACCGCUGGUGCCUCAGUGUUUUACUGUGCUUUCAGUGGACCCGCUGGUGCCUCAAUGUUUUACUGGGCCUUCAGCGGACCCGCUGGUGCCUCAAUGUUUUACUGGGCCUUCAGUGGACCCGCUGGUGCCUCAAUGUUUUACUGGGCCUUCAGUGGACCCGCUGGUGCCUCAAUGUUUUACUGGGCCUUCAGUGGACCCGCUGGUGCCUCAAUGUUUUACUGGGCCUUCAGCGGACCCGCUGGUGCCUCAAUGUUUUACUGGGCCUUCAGUGGACCCGCUGGUGCCUCAAUGUUUUACUGGGCCUUCAGUGGACCCGCUGGUGCCUCAAUGUUUUACUGGGCCUUCAGUGGACCCGCUGGUGCCUCAAUGUUUUACUGGGCCUUCAGCGGACCCGCUGGUGCCUCAGUGUUUUAC